UGCGUAGGCGGCUAUUCAGGUCUGAUGUGAAAUCUCACGGCUCAACCGUGGAACUGCGUUGGAAACCGGAUAGCUUGAGUGUGCUAGGGGUGUGUGGAACUUCCAGUGGAGCGGUGAAAUGUGUUGAUAUUGGAAGGAACGCCGGUGGCGAAAGCGACACACUGGGGCACAACUGACGCUGAGGCACGAAAGCUAGGGUAGCGAACG
rnacentral:rRNA from 1 species